UACGGAAGGCAGCAGUGGGGAAUAUUGCACAAUGGGCGAAAGCCUGAUGCAGCUAUGCCGCGUGUAUGAAGAAGGCCUUAGGGUUGUAAAGUACUUUCAUCGGGGAGGAAAAAACAAAACUAAUAAUUUUAUUUCUUGACGUUACCCGAAAAAGAAGCACCGGCUAACUCCGUGCCAGCAGCCGCGGUAAUACGGAGGGUGCUAGCGUUAAUCAGAAUUACUGGGCGUAAAGAGCACGUAGGUGGUUUUUUUAAGUCAGAUGUGAAAUCCCUGGGCUUAACCUGGAACUGCAUUUUGAAACUGAAAUACUAGAGUAUCGUAGAGGGAGGUAGAAUUCCAGGUGUAGCGGUGAAAUGCGUAGAUAUCUGGAGGAAUACCUGUGGCGAAAGCGGCCUCCUAAACGAAUACUGACACUGAGGUGCGAAAGCGUGGGGAGCAAACAGGGAUUAGGAUACC
rnacentral:rRNA from 1 species